rnacentral:rRNA from 1 species
GACGAACGCUGGCGGCGUGCUUAACACAUGCAAGUCGAACGGAAAGGCCCUGCUUUUGUGGGGUGCUCGAGUGGCGAACGGGUGAGUAACACGUGAGUAACCUACCCUUGACUUUGGGAUAACUUCAGGAAACUGGGGCUAAUACCGGAUAGGAGCUCCUGCUGCAUGGUGGGGGUUGGAAAGUUUCGGCGGUUGGGGAUGGACUCGCGGCUUAUCAGCUUGUUGGUGGGGUAGUGGCUUACCAAGGCUUUGACGGGUAGCCGGCCUGAGAGGGUGACCGGCCACAUUGGGACUGUGAUACGGCCCAGACUCCUACGGGAGGCAGCAGUGGGGAAUAUUGCACAAUGGGCGGAAGCCUGAUGCAGCAACGCCGCGUGCGGGAUGACGGCCUUCGGGUUGUAAACCGCUUUCGCCUGUGACGAAGCGUGAGUGACGGUAAUGGGUAAAGAAGCACCGGCUAACUACGUG